GAUGAACGCUGGCGGCGUGCCUAAUACAUGCAAGUCGAGCGAACAGACGAGGAGCUUGCUCCUCUGUCGUUAGCGGCGGACGGGUGAGUAACACGUGGAUAACCUACCUAUAAGACUGGGAUAACUUCGGGAAACCGGAGCUAAUACCGGAUAAUAUAUUGAACCGCAUGGUUCAAUAGUGAAAGACGGUUUUGCUGUCACUUAUAGAUGGAUCCGCGCCGCAUUAGCUAGUUGGUAAGGUAACGGCUUACCAAGGCAACGAUGCGUAGCCGACCUGAGAGGGUGAUCGGCGACACUGGAACUGAGACACGGUCCAGGCUCCUACGGGAGGCAGCAGUAGGGAAUGUUCCGCAAUGGGCGAAAGCUUGACGGAGCAACGCCGCGUGAGAGAUGAAGGUCUUCGGAUCGUAAAACUCUGUUAUUAGGGAAGAACAAAUGUGUAAGUAACUAUGCACGUCUUGACGGUACCUAAUCAGAAAGCCACGGCUAACUACGUG
rnacentral:rRNA from 1 species